rnacentral:rRNA from 1 species
CGAACGGGUGGAGUAAUGCGUGACCAACCUGCCCCAUGCUCCAGAAUAGCUCUUGGAAACGGGUGGUAAUGCUGGAUGCUCCAACUUGACGCAUGUCUUGUUGGGAAAGUGUUUAGUGGCAUGGGAUGGGGUCGCGUCCUAUCAGCUUGUAGGCGGGGUAAUGGCCCACCUAGGCUUCGACGGGUAGCCGGCCUGAGAGGGCGGACGGCCACAUUGGGACUGAGAUACGGCCCAGACUCCUACGGGAGGCAGCAGGC